UUGAGUAGCUCAAUUGGUAGAGUAUGAGACUCUUAAUCUCAGGGUUGUGGGUUUGAGCUUCACACUAGCCAAA